GCCGAAAUAGCUCAGUUGGGAGAGCGUGAGACUGAAGAUCUUAAGGUCGCGUGUUCGAUCCACGCUUUCUGCAC
rnacentral:tRNA from 1 species